rnacentral:misc_RNA from 1 species
CGCACAUUGCGCCCUUUGGUAUUCCGAAGGGCAUGCCUGUUCGAGCGUCAUUGCAACCCUCAAGCACAGCUUGGUAUUGGCUAUCGUCCCCGGGACGAAGCCGAAAUUUCGUGGCGGUCCAGCGAGACUUCAAGCGAUCAAGAUUUUACAUCCCGCUUUGCAAGCACCUCGUCGGGCCAGUCAGUCUAAUUUUUUUUUCGGUUGACCUCGGAUCAGGUAGGGAUACCCGCUGAACUUAA